GCUUAUGGCCAUGCCACCCUGAACAUGUCUGUUCUCAGAAGCUAAGCAGGCUUGGCCAGUACUUGGAUAGGAGACUGCCUGGGAAAAAAGCUUUUUCACUU
rnacentral:rRNA from 1 species